GCCUUUCCUCCCCUUCCACCUUUUCAUUUGAAAGAAAAGAGGCAAAAGCAAGAAUUCUCACUAUGUUCAUUACAGAACACAGUCAUACUCUAACAAGACACUGCUGCCAGGAACCUCUUGCUGUAACUAGAAAAAAAAGCCCAAAACAUCCUGUUAAAAUGCUAAAAAUAUAUUUUAAAAGGAAUGGGCAUAUGAAUGAGACGACUGAUUAAUGAAGAUUAUGAAUAGUUCGAGAACGGGCAUACAGGAACUGCGGAAAGAAAAAGCAGCUCUUAAUUCUGUGAAUCACGACUUUUGGAUGGGAAGGCUGAGCACAAGAACAGGAAACCCAUCAGAGUAACUGCAGUGAGACUGAAACACGACAGAAAAAAAUGAAAUUUACAUUAUUUUCUCUCCUAGGUCGCCCAUUAAUCCGAAAAAACCAACUCCUUGGGAAGAAGGAACAUCCCUCACUCGCACGACACGGAGGGAUCCGAGCACGCUGCGAGCAUUUAAACACGACACGGCAGCAAACGCAGAAAGGUGCAGGCGGAAAGAGCCGAGCGUCGACGGAAAACAGCUGGGAAAGCCGCGCUCGGCAGCCGGGAGGAAACUACUCGGCGCCGGAGAUGGCCGAGGAGAGACGGAGAUGGCCGAGGCGAGACGGAGAUGGCCGAGCUGGAGCGGAGAUGAUCGAGCGAGAACGGAGAUGAUCGAGCGUGAGGGGAAGCCCGGCAGGGCCUGUGGCUCGUCCCUCAGAGCACCCAUGGAAUGUAGAACUUGCACUUGGUGCCACAGAACGAGCUCUGGGGAUCCCCAGGUCUGUCGGGAACCCCCGCGUCUCUCGGGGUGCUGGUGCGAGGGCCCCCGCGCUGGGUUUGGCUGGUGGCUCCCGUGCCCCCGUUCCCAGUGUCGGGGUUAGCACGGCCCGGCUCCUGUCCCCGUCACCGAGGGGUCCGUGCUGAUGGUGCUCCCCGCUAGGUUCAGCCAGGAUGUCAGAAAAUCGCAGGAUCAUGUGGGUUGAGAAAGACCUCCCAAACCAUCGAGUCCAGCCUGUGACCGAUCGCCGCCUUGUCAAUAGGCCAGAGCACUGAGUGCCACCUCCAGUCGUUCCUUGGACACCUCCCUGGGCAGCCCCUUCCAAUGUUUAACAACCCAUUCUGUGAAGAAAUUCCUUGUGAUGUCCUCAUAUCCAGGAGUAAAACUGGCAGACCAGGGUAUAAGUACAAGGCAGAUAAUUUGCCAGUUACAACUUGGAUGUGUUUGAAAGCGCAAUAUCUGACACACAGAGCUUUAGCAAAAGAACGGAAUAAAGAUGUACAAAUUAACCUCAAUUUAUUAAAUAUACUGACCUAUCAAUAGCCGCCUGCAGCUAG